rnacentral:rRNA from 1 species
UACGAAGGGUGCAAACGUUGCUCGGAAUUAUUGGGCGUAAAGCGCACGUAGGCGGCUUUGCAAGUCCCAUGUGAAAGCCCACGGCUUAACCGUGGAAGUGCAUGGGAAACUGCAGAGCUUGAGUACUUAAGAGGAUCGCGGAAUUCCCGGUGUAGAGGUGAAAUUCGUAGAUAUUCGCAAGAACACCAGUGGCGAAGGCGGCUCACUGGCCCGGUACUGACGCUGAGGUGCGAAAGCGUGGGGAGCAAACAGG